AAAACUAUAAAUUACAAUAAGUAUAAACACAAGGGAUCCCGCGGAUGCUGGAAAUCCAGAAUAACACACGCAAAAUGCGGGAGGAACUUUGCAGAUUAACUGAAACCCUCCUGUCACUGACUGGUAUCAACGGGCACCAGUUAAACCAGUUUGAUCCUGACCUCGGGUACUGUCCGUGUGGAGUUUGCACGUUACCCCUGUGUUGGUGUGCGUUAAACCAGGGGUUUCCCGUCUCUUGACGCAAAUGCUUGGAUCGAUGCUGCCUGUCUUGCUGUCUUGCCGGACGAUGCUGAGGAUGUUCUACGAGUCUGUGGUGGCCAGUGCUAUCAUGUUUGCUGUUGUGUGCUGGGGUAGCAGGCUGAGGGUAGCAGACACCAACAGAAUCAACAAACUCAUUCGUAAGGCCAGUGACGUUGUGGGGACUGAACUGGACUCUCUCACGGUGGUGUCUGAAAAGAGGAUGCUGUCUAAGUUGCAUGCCAUCUUGGACAAUGUCUCCCAUCCACUACAUAAUGUACUGGUUGGGCACAGGAGUACAUUCAGCCAGAGACUCAUUCCACCGAGAUGCAACACAGAGUGUCAUAGGAAGUCAUUCCUGCCUGUGGCUAUCAAACUUUACAAUUCCUCCCUUGAAGGGUCAGACACCCUGAGCCAACAGGCUGGUUGUGGACUUAUUUCCUGGCAUAAUUUACAUAUUACUAUUUAACUAUUUAUGGUUUUAUUACUAUUUAUUAUUUAUGGUGCAACUGUAACGAAAACCAAUUUCCCCCG